rnacentral:rRNA from 1 species
UACGUAGGGGGCAAGCGUUAUCCGGAAUCAUUGGGCGUAAAGCGCGUGUAGGCGGUUCCGUAAGUCCGCUCUGAAAGCCCAGGGCUCAACCCUGGGAGGCGGGUGGAUACUACGGAACUGGAGUACGGAAGAGGAGAUUGGAAUUCCUGGUGUAGCGGUGAAAUGCGCAGAUAUCAGGAGGAACACCAAUGGCGAAGGCAGCUCGCUGGGACGGUACUGACGCUGAGACGCGAAAGCGUGGGGAGCAAACAGG